rnacentral:rRNA from 1 species
CCUACGGGUGGCAGCAGUCGAGAAUCAUUCACAAUGGGGGAAACCCUGAUGGUGCGACGCCGCGUGGGGGAAUGAAGGUCUUCGGAUUGAAAACCCCUGUCAUGGGGGAGCAAAGUAAAAAGAUCGUACCACAAGAGGAAGAGACGGCUACAUCGGUGCCAGCAGCCGCGGUAAUACAGAGGUCUCAAGCGUUGUUCGGAAUCACUGGGCGUAAAGCGUGCGGAGGCUGUUUCGUAAGUCGUGUGUGAAAGGCGCGGGCUCAACCCCGGAACUGCCAUUAUGACUAUGUAUCUAGAGUAAUGGAGAGGAUAGCGGAAUACCCAGUGUAGAGGUGAAAUUCGUAGAUAUUGGGUAGAACACCGGUGGCGAAGGCGGUUAUCUGGACAUUUACUGACGCUGAGGCUCGAAAGCAUGGGGAUCAAACAGGAUUAGAUACCCGUGUAGUC